rnacentral:tRNA from 1 species
UGGAAAGUAGCUCAGUUGGUAGAGUGGUAGAUUUUUAAUCUAUAUGUCCCGGGUUCGAUUCCUGGCUUUCCAA